UACAGCCAUAUCAAGUUAAACACCGGUUCCCGUACGAUCAGUUAAGCAACGCUGAGCCUGGUCAGUACCUAGAUAGGUGACCGCUUGGGAAUACCAGGUGGUGUAA